rnacentral:rRNA from 1 species
AGAGUUUGAUCCUGGCUCAGGGUGAACGCUAGCGGUGCGCCUAACACAUGCAAGUCGAGCGGUAGAAUUUAUAUUGAGUCUUCGGAUGAUUUAUUAAUUUGAGAGCGGCGAACGGGUGAGUAACACGUUGGUAUCUGCCCCCAAGUCAGGGAUAGCCAUUGGAAACGAUGAUUAAUACCGGAUAGUCUCUUCGGAGUAAAGAUUUAUUGCUUGGGGAGGAGCCUGCGUUCUAUCAGCUAGUUGGUAGUGUAAAAGACUACCAAGGCUAUGACGGAUACCUGGUCUGAGAGGAUGAUCAGGCACAAUGGAACUGAGACACGGUCCAUACUCCUACGGGAGGCAGCAGUGAGGAAUCUUCCACAAUGGACGAAAGUCUGAUGGAGCGACACCGCGUGAAGGAUGAAGGCCUAACGGUUGUAAACUUCUUUUCUGAAGGAGCAUAAUGAGAGUACUUCAGGAAUAAGGGACGGCUAAAUACGUGCCAGCAGCCGCGGUAAUACGUAUGUCUCGAGCGUUACCCGGAAUCACUGGGUGUAAAGGGUUCGUAGGCGGUUUAUUAAGUUGGAUAUGAAAGACCGGAGCUCAACUCCGUGUUUGUAUUCAAAACUGGUAGACUAGAAUUGGGGAGAGGUAAGCGGAAUUCUAAGUGUAGGGGUGCAAUCCGUAGAUACUUAGAGGAACACCAAAAGCGAAGGCAGCUUACUGGAACUAUAUUGACGCUGAGGAACGAAAGCGUGGGGAGCGAAAAGGAUUAGAUACCCUUGUAGUCCACGCCCUAAACGAUGAUAACUAAGUGUUGUGUUUUCGGAUGCAGUGCUGUAGCUAACGCGUUAAGUUAUCCACCUGAGGAGUACGGUCGCAAGAUUAAACUCAAGGGAUUUGACGGG